CUUUUGCGUUAACGAUUGAAGCGGCAUCCUUUUUUCUUUUCCUGAAAAAAGAUAUAGUGUAAAGCGUGUAAAACG
rnacentral:sRNA from 1 species